GACGAACGCUGGCGGCGUGCUUAACACAUGCGAGUCGAACGGAAAGGCCCUGCUUGCAGGGUACUCGAGUGGCGAACGGGUGAGUAACACGUGGGUGAUCUGCCCUGCACUUCGGGAUAAGCCUGGGAAACUGGGUCUAAUACCGGAUAGGAGCCAUUUUUAGUGUGAUGGUUGGAAAGUUUUUUCGGUGUAGGAUGAGCUCGCGGCCUAUCAGCUUGUUGGUGGGGUAAUGGCCUACCAAGGCGGCGACGGGUAGCUGGCCUGAGAGGGUGGACGGCCACAUUGGGACUGAGAUACGGCCCAGACUCCUACGGGAGGCAGCAGUGGGGAAUAUUGCACAAUGGGCGCAAGCCUGAUGCAGCGACGCCGCGUGGGGGAUGACGGCCUUCGGGUUGUAAACUCCUUUCGCUAGGGACGAAGCUUUUUGUGACGGUACCUAGAUAAGAAGCACCGGCUAACUACGUG
rnacentral:rRNA from 1 species